rnacentral:rRNA from 1 species
AACGAACGCUGGCGGCAUGCCUAACACAUGCAAGUCGAACGAGACCUUCGGGUCUAGUGGCGCACGGGUUCGUAACGCGUGGGAACCUGCCUUUAGGUUCGGACUAACUCAGAGACAUUUGAGCUAAUACCGGAUGAUGUCUUCGGACCAAAGAUUUAUCGCCGUUAGUUGGGCCCGAGUUGGAUUAGCUAGUUGGUGGGGUAAAGGCCUACCAAGGGGCCGAUCAAUAGCUGGUCUGAGAGAAUGAUCAGCCACACUGGGACUAGGACCCGGCCCAGACUCUUCCGGGAUGCAGGAGUGGGGAAUAGUGCAAAGCGGGGGGAAGCCUGAACGACCAAGGCCGGUUGAAUUAUGAAGUCCUGAGGGUAGAAAAGCUUUUUUACCCGAGAUGAUAAUGACGGUACCGGGAGAAAAAGCCCCGGCUAACUCCGUG